rnacentral:rRNA from 1 species
CCUACGGGAGGCUGUAGUGGGGAAUAUUGGACAAUGGGGGCAACCCUGAUCCAGCCAUGCCGCGUGUGUGAAGAAGGCCCUCGGGUUGUAAAGCACUUUCAGUGAGGAAGAACGCCUGGUGGUUAAUACCCAUCAGGAAAGACAUCACUCACAGAAGAAGCACCGGCUAACUCCGUGCCAGCAGCCGCGGUAAUACGGAGGGUGCGAGCGUUAAUCGGAAUUACUGGGCGUAAAGCGCGCGUAGGUGGCUUGAUAAGCCGGUUGUGAAAGCCCCGGGCUCAACCUGGGAACGGCAUCCGGAACUGUCAAGCUAGAGUGCAGGAGAGGAAGGUAGAAUUCCCGGUGUAGCGGUGAAAUGCGUAGAGAUCGGGAGGAAUACCAGUGGCGAAGGCGGCCUUCUGGACUGACACUGACACUGAGGUGCGAAAGCGUGGGUAGCAAACAGGAUUAGAUACCCUAGUAGUC